CAAAAUUAAGCUAACACAGCAAAAGGACCCAGCAGUCCAGGAACCUACCCUCCUAAAAUGGUCAACCAAAGGCAGAGCGAAUGUUUAAAGGGAGGGAAAGUGUUAAUUACUCCUGUUUUACCCAAAGCUUUUAUUCACAUAUUGCUCAGCACCUCGCCAGGGCCUGGAGCUGUCGACGUCUAUUCAUGAUAUGCUGCUUGUUACCUAGAGUUUACAGCAUGACUGACCUAAUAGAAAUACAAGUGUCCUAUGGAUCAUGUCUCCAACAGAGGAGAAUCAAAAGGGAAUCAAAAAGAUGCUGGCCAUUGAGUUCGAGAAAUCCAGCUGCCUUCUCCAGCCUCUGGACACAAGGCUUCAUUGUGUGAGUACAGAAAAUUGAACUGAAGCUUUCCCGCAAGCAUAUCUGAACUUGGACCUCCAGUGCACAGACUAGCAGCCAGCUCCCAGCCCAGGCACCCCCUCCUCUCCUCUCCAUCUUUGCAAGAGAAUUUAGUUCCAUUUAAGUCCAGGAGACAUGGCAAAAACAACACUCCAAACACCAUUCCAUUUAUGGCCAUGGGAUCCUCCAAACCAGACAUAGCCCUGCAGCUCCCAAGCCCUUUAGAUUCUCGGUGCCUCACACAC
rnacentral:lncRNA from 1 species